rnacentral:rRNA from 1 species
UACAUCCCGACUUCGGAAGGGAUGUAUUUAUUAGAUUAAAAACCAAUGCCCCUCGGGGCUCUCUGGUGAAUCAUAAUAACUAGUCGAAUCGACAGGCCUUGUGCCGGCGAUGGCUCAUUCAAAUUUCUUCCCUAUCAACUUUCGAUGUUUGGGUAUUGGCCAAACAUGGUGGCAACGGGUAACGGAGGGUUAGGGCUCGACCCCGGAUAAGGAGCCUG